rnacentral:rRNA from 1 species
GGGUUGUGAGGUUAAGCGACUAAGCGUACACGGUGGAUGCCCUGGCAGUCAGAGGCGAUGAAGGACGUGCUAAUCUGCGAUAAGCGUCGGUAAGGUGAUAUGAACCGUUAUAACCGGCGAUUUCCGAAUGGGGAAACCCAGUGUGAUUCGUCACACUAUCAUUAACUGAAUCCAUAGGUUAAUGAGGCGAACCGGGGGAACUGAAACAUCUAAGUACCCCGAGGAAAAGAAAUCAACCGAGAUUCCCCCAGUAGCGGCGAGCGAACGGGGAGCAGCCCAGAGCCUGAAUCAGUGUGUGUGUUAGUGGAAGCGUCUGGAAAGGCGUGCGAUACAGGGUGACAGCCCCGUACACAAAAAUGCACAUACUGUGAGCUCGAUGAGUAGGGCGGGACACGUGGUAUCCUGUCUGAAUAUGGGGGGACCAUCCUCCAAGGCUAAAUACUCCUGACUGACCGAUAGUGAACCAGUACCGUGAGGGAAAGGCGAAAAGAACCCCGGCGAGGGGAGUGAAAAAGAACCUGAAACCGUGUACGUACAAGCAGUGGGAGCACGCUUAGGCGUGUGACUGCGUACCUUUUGUAUAAUGGGUCAGCGACUUAUAUUCUGUAGCAAGGUUAACCGAAUAGGGGAGCCGAAGGGAAACCGAGUCUUAACUGGGCGUUAAGUUGCAGGGUAUAGACCCGAAACCCGGUGAUCUAGCCAUGGGCAGGUUGAAGGUUGGGUAACACUAACUGGAGGACCGAACCGACUAAUGUUGAAAAAUUAGCGGAUGACUUGUGGCUGGGGGUGAAAGGCCAAUCAAACCGGGAGAUAGCUGGUUCUCCCCGAAAGCUAUUUAGGUAGCGCCUCGUGAAUUCAUCUCCGGGGGUAGAGCACUGUUUCGGCAAGGGGGUCAUCCCGACUUACCAACCCGAUGCAAACUGCGAAUACCGGAGAAUGUUAUCACGGGAGGCACACGGCGGGUGCUAACGUCCGUCGUGAAGAGGGAAACAACCCAGACCGCCAGCUAAGGUCCCAAAGUCAUGGUUAAGUGGGAAACGAUGUGGGAAGGCCCAGACAGCCAGGAUGUUGGCUUAGAAGCAGCCAUCAUUUAAAGAAAGCGUAAUAGCUCACUGGUCGAGUCGGCCUGCGCGGAAGAUGUAACGGGGCUAAACCAUGCACCGAAGCUGCGGCAGCGACGCUUAUGCGUUGUUGGGUAGGGGAGCGUUCUGUAAGCCUGUGAAGGUGUACUGUGAGGUAUGCUGGAGGUAUCAGAAGUGCGAAUGCUGACAUAAGUAACGAUAAAGCGGGUGAAAAGCCCGCUCGCCGGAAGACCAAGGGUUCCUGUCCAACGUUAAUCGGGGCAGGGUGAGUCGACCCCUAAGGCGAGGCCGAAAGGCGUAGUCGAUGGGAAACAGGUUAAUAUUCCUGUACUUGGUGUUACUGCGAAGGGGGGACGGAGAAGGCUAUGUUGGCCGGGCGACGGUUGUCCCGGUUUAAGCGUGUAGGCUGGUUUUCCAGGCAAAUCCGGAAAAUCAAGGCCGAGGCGUGAUGACGAGGCACUACGGUGCUGAAGCAACAAAUGCCCUGCUUCCAGGAAAAGCCUCUAAGCAUCAGGUAACAUCAAAUCGUACCCCAAACCGACACAGGUGGUCAGGUAGAGAAUACCAAGGCGCUUGAGAGAACUCGGGUGAAGGAACUAGGCAAAAUGGUGCCGUAACUUCGGGAGAAGGCACGCUGAUACGUAGGUGAAGCGACUUGCUCGUGGAGCUGAAAUCAGUCGAAGAUACCAGCUGGCUGCAACUGUUUAUUAAAAACACAGCACUGUGCAAACACGAAAGUGGACGUAUACGGUGUGACGCCUGCCCGGUGCCGGAAGGUUAAUUGAUGGGGUUAGCGCAAGCGAAGCUCUUGAUCGAAGCCCCGGUAAACGGCGGCCGUAACUAUAACGGUCCUAAGGUAGCGAAAUUCCUUGUCGGGUAAGUUCCGACCUGCACGAAUGGCGUAAUGAUGGCCAGGCUGUCUCCACCCGAGACUCAGUGAAAUUGAACUCGCUGUGAAGAUGCAGUGUACCCGCGGCAAGACGGAAAGACCCCGUGAACCUUUACUAUAGCUUGACACUGAACAUUGAGCCUUGAUGUGUAGGAUAGGUGGGAGGCUUUGAAGUGUGGACGCCAGUCUGCAUGGAGCCGACCUUGAAAUACCACCCUUUAAUGUUU